GGGGGCGCUUUGGAUUCGACGCCGGUUACAAACCCUGAGGUGCAUGCCGAGAGAGUAUAGGCUCUCGUAAAUCAAUCUAUGCAACUUUAUAGUUGCCAACGACGAAAACUACGCUCUAGCAGCUUAAUAUAGCCGCUAGCGAUUGCCACAGGGAUGCCUGUAAACCAGUGUUUAGCAAUCGUCAUAUAGAACAGGAUCGCGCCGCUGAGAGUCUGACUCCAGAGCGUUAAAGAAUCUUCAGACUCGCUUCGAACACCCUGCACGUUGGGUCGUGAGAAGUUAACUUAAUAAACGAUGCUAUGCAUGUAGAGCCGAAGGCAGAGGACUGACGGACGGGGGUUCAACUCCCCCCGCCUCCACCA
rnacentral:tmRNA from 1 species